UUGAACAUCUUAAAUAAGAGAUACUAAUGAUCUGUAUAGAGAGGUAAAACCCAGAAGAGCAAACACAAUUUGAAGAGUUAAAAACAAAGUUAAAUCACAAAGGCCCAUGGCGGGUGUUGAUGUGAUGUGGUUUUUCCCCAGUGCUCUGAAUAUCAAAAUGAAGACAUUCAAUAAAGCAUGGGUAAACAGCAGGAGGAACUAUGACUCUUAAGGUAGCCAAAUGCCUCGUCAUCUAAUUAGUGAUGUGCAUGAAUGGAUGAAUGAGAUUUCCACUAUCCCUACCUACUAUCCAGCGAUACCAUGGCCAAGGGAACGGAUUAGGACGAAUCCAUGGGGGCAGGGGCGACUCUGUUGAGCUCUACUCUAGUCUGACAUGGUGAAGACAGUGAAGACACAUGAGAGGUGUAGAAUAAUAAGUGGGAGGUCCUCCCACCCUCCCACCACCACAAGGGGGCAGGGUUGGGUCGUCCAGCCUUGGGGAGCCGCUGGUGAAAUGCCACUACUCUUGUUUUUUCACUGACCCUAUUGGGGGUGGGGGUGUAGGGGAGGCAAGGGGCUCUUGCUUUUGACACAAAAGUUGGCUGGGUGCAAACCCAUCAGGGGACAGUGCCAGGUGGAGAAUUUGUCUGGGGCAGUAUACCUUUCAAACCCUAACGCAGGUGUCCUAAGGCAAGCUCAGGUAGGACAGAAACCUCCUGUGGAACAGAAGGGCAAAAGCUCCCUUGAUCUUGAUUUUCAGUAGGAAUACAGACCGUGAAAGCAGGACACAAUCAGAGGAUUAUCUUAAAGAUGACUUUGAAGGAAGAAAAAGAGACUGAUCUUGGCUAGCAGAUGUAUAUCACAGAAUACUUGUAGGCAGGACUGAUUUGAGAAGGUUUAUGUGUGAAUUAUGUGCUGGGUGUUUCCUUUUCAACAGUUUGAGUAGCUGACAUGUAAAUAUUUUCUCAAAAAUAUUUAAAACCUUACUGUCCCUGUUGCUACAGGGUCACAAACAAAAUUAUAACAAAUAUUUCAAACAUCUUUAUUUUUUUUUAAUUUUUUUGAGAAUUUUUUGCUAUAGGGCACAUGCACUCACCAAAAAGACAGAGAGAGACAGAGAGACAGAAAGUGAGAAAUCUCCCCCCCCCCCGGGGGGGAGGGGGGAUGGCCACGCCACAAUCCCUUCUCCUCCAGUCUC
rnacentral:ncRNA from 1 species